rnacentral:rRNA from 1 species
GCAUAUCAAUAAGCGGAGGAAAAGAAACCAACAGGGAUUGCCCUAGUAACGGCGAAGUGAAGCGGCAACAGCUCAAAUUUGAAAUCUGGCCCUCGGGUCCGAAUUGUAAUUUGUAGAGGAUGCUUUUGGUGAGGUACCUUCCGAGUUCCCUGGAACGGGACGCCAUAGAGGGUGAGAGCCCCGUCUGGUUGGAUACCGAUCCUCUGUAAAGCUCCUUCGACGAGUCGAGUAGUUUGGGAAUGCUGCUCUAAAUGGGAGGUAUAUGUCUUCUAAAGCUAAAUAUUGGCCAGAGACCGAUAGCGCACAAGUAGAGUGAUCGAAAGAUGAAAAGCACUUUGAAAAGAGAGUUAAAAAGUACGUGAAAUUGUUGAAAGGGAAGCGCUCAUGACCAGACUUGGGCUUGGUUGAUCAUCCAGGGUUCUCCCUGGUGCACUCUUCCAGCCCAGGCCAGCAUCAGUUCGCUGUGGGGGAUAAAGGCUUUGGGAAUGUGGCUCCUCCGGGAGUGUUAUAGCCCAUUGUGUAAUACCCUGUGGUGGACUGAGGUUCGCGCAUCUGCAAGGAUGCUGGCGUAAUGGUCAUCAGCGACCCGUCUUGAAACACGGACCAAGGAGUCGUCUUCGUAUGCGAGUGUUCGGGUGUUAAACCCCUACGCGUAAUGAAAGUGAACGCAGGUGAGAGCUUCGGCGCAUCAUCGACCGAUCCUGAUGUUCUCGGAUGGAUUUGAGUAAGAGCAUACGGGGCCGGACCCGAAAGAAGGUGAACUAUGCCUGUAUAGGGUGAAGCCAGAGGAAACUCUGGUGGAGGCUCGCAGCGGUUCUGACGUGCAAAUCGAUCGUCAAAUAUGGGCAUGGGGGCGAAAAGACUAAUCGAACCUUCUAGUAGCUGGUUUCGCGA